rnacentral:tRNA from 1 species
GUAGUCGUGGCCGAGUGGUUAAGGCGACAGACUUGAAAUCUGUUGGGAUAUUCCAGCGCAGGUUCGAAUCCUGCCGACUACG